rnacentral:rRNA from 1 species
UAGCCGUAAACGAUACUCGCUAGGUGUCGGCCACGGUGCGACCGUUGUCGGUGCCGUAGGGAAGCCGUGAAGCGAGCCACCUGGGAAGUACGGCCGCAAGGCUGAAACUUAAAGGAAUUGGCGGGGGAGGCACCACAACGGGUGGAGCUUGCGGUUUAAUUUGGAUUCAACGCCGGAAAUCUUACCGGGACCGACAGCGGAAUGAUUGCCGGGCUGAAGACCCUGCAUGACCAGCUGAGAGGAGGUGCAUGGCUAGUCGUGU